AACCCCACCCCUUCUUCUCUUCUUCUUCUUGUUCCUUCCUCUUGCUGGCUAUUGCUUCACCCACCACCACACCACCGCCCCACGCCCUACUCACCACCACCUCUUGGUCACCGAACCACCACCACCCACCGCUCGUCCGACGAGCCGUCUCGCCAUCUCGCCCGACGAGCUGUCACGUCGUCCGCACCGCCCCUCGCCACCGUGAGCCACCGCCGCCAUCCCCAAGCCACCAUCACCACCUCUUGCCGCCGCUCGCUCGGCCGUCCGGGCCGUCGUUGCUCCGAACCGCCACCGCCGAUGUGGUUGAGGCAUCGGAUCAUCCUCAAGAUGAAAGCGAUUGGGAAGGCAAGGAUCCUGAUGGAGACAUUAUUUAUGUGGAGUAGGUCUAACUGUUGCAGAGCAACAGCACUAUGUUGCUAGAUUGGGCAUACUGCUGCUUAACCGGUUAGUUUGGUGUUGUCUUUGUAGGGAGGGGAAUUCUUUUUCUUCUGUUCAAUGACAAAGUACGAUAGCAAUCGUAUUGUAGGGUGCAGCUUAGCCAUAUUCUAGAUCUUGUUGGAACAAAUGGUUAUUUAUCUGCUAUAUUUUCAUAGGAUUGUAUAUGUUAUUGUCUACUGAAGGGAUAGCCAAUGUGCCUGAAAUACUUGGCACUGUAUCUAUAUUAUAUGCCACUCUACUCAACACUGCUCAUUUGGGGUGAAGAAUCUUGAGCUGAUAUUGAUGUGACCAUCUUCUUUUGCCGGCCUGAAAUGGGAAAGAAAUUAUCAGCCGAUUGAUUCUUUAGUUAAAUGCUAAACCCAAUAGACAAGCUGAAUCCUUUUGUUGAGGCAGUUUGCAGUACAUGCAAUCUAGGCCGUCAUUUUGUUGUAAUUGGUAAAUCUCAUGCAUCAAACUAAGAAAACGAUGAUUUUGCACUUCUUCUGCUAGUUUACGGCACAAUGAACGGAUUUGCAACUGUUUGCUUGUCCCGGGAUAGAUACAUUUACUGAAGCACCAUAUGCAUGCUCUUGUUGGGUUUUAGCUUUCAAACUUGUUCUUUCAGUGAUGCUACUUAUUAUUUUCAGAAUGACGACUGAAAAGUCAGUCUAUCUUCAUGCAGGUUUAGGGCGGUAACAAUAAACCGCUCUUUGUGCAGGAAAGGAGGUUUCAUAACAUCAUCUAGACUAGAAUCCUUUACUUGAGCUGCAAAGAGCAAUAUCAACAACGGCAAACAGAGGAGAAAGAAGGAGAGGCCUCGGAACAACAAUGCCGUGAGGAAAGCUAUAGAGAGAAAGGAAAGGAUCCUGAGAAAGAGAAUUGCAUAAGCACCCCAAGCAGCACGAAAGGCUUGUAGACGAGCGGAGCAAUAGAGAAGGAGAGUGAAGAUGCUGAGGAAGAUGGUAAUGGGAUGAGUAUUAAAUAGAGAAUCCGGUGUCCCCUGAUAUUUCAUGGUAAUGAAGUCGACCAAUACUGGAACAAUGAAGGUGACAAUGUCAUCGAUGCUAUUCCAUUGAUCACGCACAAAAAUCGGCAUUCUUGAAUCUGUAUAGAUGUGGAAAACAGGAAGAAGAG
rnacentral:lncRNA from 1 species